CACAAGCGGCUCCAGGUGGAGGAAGACUUUGGUGACCUGCUGGAGCAGUACAAGCACUUCAAGUCCUUUCCCGAGUCUCUGAGCCUGGAGCGGCUGAGCCAGGGAGGGAGCCAGUCCCUGGAGGAGGUGGAUGGACUCGGG